AUUGAACGCUGGCGGCAUGCCUAACACAUGCAAGUCGAACGGUAACGCGGAGAGCUUGCUCUCUGGCGACGAGUGGCGGACGGGUGAGUAAUACUUAGGAAUCUGCCCAGUAGUGGGGGACAACAUUCGGAAACGGAUGCUAAUACCGCAUACGCACUACGGUGGAAAGCGGGGGAUCUUCGGACCUCGCGCUAUUGGAUGAGCCUAAGUCGGAUUAGCUUGUAGGUAGGGUAAUGGCCUACCUAGGCGACGAUCCGUAGCUGGUCUGAGAGGACGAUCAGCCACACUGGGACUGAGACACGGCCCAGACUCCUACGGGAGGCAGCAGUGGGGAAUAUUGGACAAUGGGCGCAAGCCUGAUCCAGCAAUGCCGCGUGUGUGAAGAAGGCCUGCGGGUUGUAAAGCACUUUCAGUAGAGAAGAAAAGCCGAAGGUUAAUACCCUUCAGUCUUGACGUAACCUACAGAAGAAGCACCGGCUAACUCCGUG
rnacentral:rRNA from 1 species